CAAGGUACCUUUUGACCCUACUUAGUUUAACCAAAUGAACUAAAAUUUUAAAGUGACAUAACUUUUUAGAAAACUAGUUCAUUUGUUUGAACUAAGUAUGGUAAAAGGGUACCCUG
rfam:Brachypodium distachyon strain Bd21 chromosome 5, whole genome shotgun sequence.